AGUGAACGCUGGCGGCAGGCCUAACACAUGCAAGUCGAACGGCAGCACAAGAGAGCUUGCUCUCUGGGUGGCGAGUGGCGGACGGGUGAGGAAUGCAUCGGAAUCUGCCCAUUUGUGGGGGAUAACCUCGGAAAACCGGGACUAAUACCGCAUACGACCUACGGGUGAAAGCAGGGGAUCUUCGGACCUUGCGCAGAUGGAUGAGCCGAUGCCGGAUUAGCUAGUUGGAGGGGUAAAGGCCCACCAAGGCGACGAUCCGUAGCUGGUCUGAGAGGAUGAUCAGCCAGCCUGGGACUGAGACACGGCCCAGACUCCUACGGGAGGCAGCAGUGGGGAAUAUUGGACAAUGGGCGCAAGCCUGAUCCAGCCAUGCCGCGUGUGUGAAGAAGGCCUUCGGGUUGUAAAGCACUUUUGUUGGGAAAGAAAAGCAGCCGGUUAAUACCCGGUUGUCAUGACGGUACCCAAAGAAUAAGCACCGGCUAACUUCGUG
rnacentral:rRNA from 1 species